CACGGACCAGGGAGUCUAGCAUGUUUGCAAGUCACCGGGUAUAUAUUAAUACCCAUAGGCAUAAUUAAGGUGAAUGUAUAAUUAUUGUUUUUUUUUAUAAUAUUUCAAUUAUACAAAGGGAAGAUGAAUGGGUUUAUUACCAUUCCGCAUUCCCGGGGCGUUCUAUAUAAACAAUAUUAUAUUAUAUAUUUUAUUGUUUGGGGCGCACCAAGAGCAAAUACGCUGGGACCCGAAAGAUGGUGAACUAUGC
rnacentral:rRNA from 1 species